rnacentral:rRNA from 1 species
CAGUAGCCGCGGGAAUACGAAGGGGGCUAGCGUUGUUCGGAAUCACUGGGCGUAAAGCGCACGUAGGCGGACACUUAAGUCAGAGGUGAAAUCCCAAGGCUCAACCUUGGAACUGCCUUUGAUACUGGGUGUCUUGAGUUCGGGAGAGGUGAGUGGAACUGCGAGUGUAGAGGUGGAAUUCGUAGAUAUUCGCAGGAACACCAGUGGCGAAGGCGGCUAACUGGUCCAUAACUGACGCUGAAGUGCGAAAGCGUGGGGAGCAAACAGGAUUAGAUACCCCGGUAGUCCCUGUCUCUUAUAC